AGUGAACGCUGGCGGCAGGCCUAACACAUGCAAGUCGAGCGGCAGCGCGUCCGACCACCCUCGGGUGGUCGGAUGGCGGCGAGCGGCGGACGGGUGAGGAAUGCAUCGGAAUCUGCCUCGUUGUGGGGGAUAACGUAGGGAAACUUACGCUAAUACCGCAUACGACCUACGGGUGAAAGUGGGGGACCUUCGGGCCUCACGCGAUGAGAUGAGCCGAUGCCGGAUUAGCUAGUUGGCGGGGUAAAGGCCCACCAAGGCGACGAUCCGUAGCUGGUCUGAGAGGAUGAUCAGCCACACUGGAACUGAGACACGGUCCAGACUCCUACGGGAGGCAGCAGUGGGGAAUAUUGGACAAUGGGGGGAACCCGUGAUCCAGCCAUGCCGCGUGAGGGAAGAAGGUCCUCUGGAUUGUAAACCUCUUUUGGCAGGAAACAAACCUGCGCUAUACGCGCAGCUGAGGGUACCUGCAGAAUAAGCACCGGCUAACUCCGUG
rnacentral:rRNA from 1 species